rfam:Vavraia culicis subsp. floridensis unplaced genomic scaffold supercont1.6, whole genome shotgun sequence.
GCCUGGCUAGCUCAGUCGGUAGAGCAUCAGACUCUUAAUCUGAGGGUCGUGGGUUCAAGUCCCACGUCGGGCG